AUGGCGGGCCGAUCUGCUGUUGCAGCAUCAAGCAAGUGGCUGGAUGGUUUUCGAAAGUGGUAUUAUAAUGCUGUGGGAUUCAAUCAACUGGGGUUAAUGUGAGAUGCUACACUACAUGAAACUGAAGAUGUAAAAGAAGCCAUAAGAAGGCUUCCUGAGGACCUUUAUAAUGACAGGAUGUUUCGAAUUAAGAGAGUCCUGGACCUGACUAUGAGGCAUCAGAUCUUGCCUAAGGAUCAGUGGACAAAAUAUGAGGAGGACAAAUUCUACCUUGAACCCUAUCUAAAAGAGGUUAUUCGGGAAAGAAAGGAGAGAGAAGAGUGGGCAAAGAAGUGA
rnacentral:lncRNA from 1 species